GCCAAACCAAUAGCCCUAACCCACACACAAAAUGUUUACUACUAACAAAACUAAAACAUUCGCAAUACCCAGUAUAUGAGAUAGAACGCUACACCUGGCGCCAUAGACACAGUACCGCAAGGGAACCUUGAAAGACUACCAAAAGCACAAAAGCAAUACACAGCAGAACUUAACAACCGUACCUUUUGCAUCAUGGUUUAGCAAGCACAAACAAAUUUAGAGCCCUCAAACUUGCACCCCCGAACCCAGACGAGCUACCCUAGAGCAAUCAUAUAGGAUGAACCCGCCUCUGUAGCAAAAGAGUGGGAUGACUUUAGGGUAGAGGUGAGACGCCUACCGCGUCUGGCAACAGCUGGUUACUCAUUAAAUGAAUACUAGUUCAACUCUAGCACCCCCUCUCCCUAUACACAAACACACCAAGAUAGGGCUAGAAGAUAUACAAUUAAGGUACAGCUCAAUUGUAACUGGAUACAGCCAAUAUUAGAGGCCCAUAAACCACACCAUCAACCAUAGUAGGCCUUAAAGCCGCCAACAAAAAAAACCGCGUCAAAGCAAUAAACCACUAACCCCCACAGCGCAUACAACCCCCUAAACCAAACUGAGUCACUCUGCCAAUAAACAGAGAAGAAACUGCUAAAACUAGUAAUAUGACACCCCUCACCCAUGCAUACCCGUACAUUACCAAUAAUUACCAGACCCCCCCUAACACCAAAACAAGAUAAUUUAACAACAUAACUGUUACACCAACACAGGAAUGCAUACAGACCACGUAUUAAAGCCUCAAAAGGAACUCGGCUAACCGCACCUCGCCUGUUUACCAAAAACAUCGCCUUUAGCCACACAAGUAUUAAAGGUCCUGCCUGCCCAGUGAGCAAAAUACUUUAACGGCCGCGGUAUCCUAACCGUGCAAAGGUAGCGUAAUCACUUGCCCCUUAAUUAGGGGCCUGUAUGAACGGCUAACCGAAGGUGCACCUGUCUCCUGAAGCCAUACAAUGAAACUGAGCCCCUAGUACAAACGCUAGGAUUCCCCCAUAAGACGAGAAGACCCUGUGGAGCUUACAACUAACAACGCUAAAACUACCGCGCACAAAGUCUUAAGACCCACACAUAACUAGAUAUUUAGCGCCACCUUUGAGUUGGGGCGACUACGGAACAAAACAAAACUUCCACGAAACAGGACUAACCGCCCCCUAUAGGCUAACACGCCAACGAGAACCCCACACAUUGACCCAGUAUUACUGAUUAACGAACCAAGUUACCCCAGGGAUAACAGCGCCAUCCCCUUUAAGAGUCCUUAUCGCCAAGGGGGCUUACGACCUCGAUGUUGGAUCAGGACUUCCAGGUGGUGUAGCAGCUACCAAAGGUUCGUUUGUUCAACGAUUAAUGUCCUACGUGAUCUGAGUUCAGACCGGAGAAAUCCAGGUCGGUUUCUAUCUAUGUUCAACUCUCCCUAGUACGAAAGGACCGGGAAAGUAGUGCCAAUAUAACACACACGCACCGACCAAAUAGAUGCAUACAAAUAAACCAAGACCUGAGCCCUCAGUGGGCCCAAAAAGAAUGGUAU
rnacentral:rRNA from 1 species